UGCCUUCAGGUCUGAUACGGGCUUGUGCUUUGCAGAAUGCUACUGCGGCUGAGCCUAGCGCGGCGCGGGAAGAUUCUGCUGUUGUUAAUCGGAAAAGACCAACUCUGGGAUGAUUCAAAUGUGUAAUAUUGAUGCAUCAUUUUUGUCGAAUUUAAAUAAAGUUGGCAUUGGAAUAUGAAUCUGUGAUGAACUUGGUCAAUUUGUGCUUUCAAAGGCAGACUGAAUUUGCCCUUCAUUGUGGAGUGGAUGUUGGUGAAGCUCUUGAUUGAAGACUUGGAUUUUCUGAAUGAGAUUGGAGUUGAUCCAGAAAAGGUUAACUUGUCACAGCUUUGGUGAACUCACGUGAAUUGUAUUUUACGUUCUUUAUGUUGGCUGUAAUUGUCUCUUUUGGAAGAAUAUUAGCAAUUUGUUGAUGAUUAGUGUACUACCCUUGUAGUUCUAACAAAUAAAUGCUAACUAAGUACUGAUGGAUUCUAAACUUGUUACUGAGGGUAGCAAAAUCACUGAUUGAGCUGUUUGCUGAAAUGUUAUUUGUGCAUGGUUACAUACAUGGUGAUCCACAUCCUGAUAAUGUACUAGUUUCUCCUGAAGGUCAUAAUGGUUUCUCUUUGGUUCUUCUAGAUCAUGCAGUCUACAGGGAAUUGGAUGAAGAAUUUAGAAAAGACUUUUGUCAGUUAUGGGAGGCUUUGAUUCUCAAGGACUCAAAGAAAACAACGUGGCUUGGUGAGCGAUUUGGUGCUGGGAAGUAUUCUCGAUACUUACCCAUCAUUUUCACCGGAACAACUAUUGAAAGGUUUCUUCUUAACUUUUAGUUUAUUGAUGCAUAUAAUGCUCUGCUAGUUUACAUUUUGAGGACAUUUCAUUUUGGAGAUUGUACUUUAUUGUACUUCUUUAUUUUGGACAUUUCAUUUCAAGAUGAUUAAUUUUAUUUCAUUACACUUUCUAUGAUAUAAGAUGUAUAAAGACAAGGGUCGUCUCGAGAAAACAUCUGGUGCUUGAGAAUCAUUAAGUUUGGUGUCUAUGAGGCACUGUAGUUCUGAGUCAUAUUCCAAAAUAAGCUCAACAAGAUCUUUCAUACCUUGAUCUAUAGGAACAUGUUCAGGCAUGAGAUUUUUCCACCAACUGUUAAUUUUACUUA